rnacentral:rRNA from 1 species
CGUCUUAGCAUGCAGCCGUGCGGCAAGGGGGAGCAAUCCCCCCUAGAGCGGCGGACUGGUGAGUAACGCGUGGGUGACCUGCCUUGAGGUUGGGGAUAGCCGUUAGAAAUAGCGGGUAAUACCGAAUGAGGUUACGGCGCUGUGGCGCGGUAAAGAAAGGGGCUCCGGCCCCGCCUUAAGAUGGGCCCGCGUCCCAUUAGCUAGUUGGAGGGGUAAAGGCCCGCCAAGGCGAUGAUGGGUAGCCGGCCUGAGAGGGCGAACGGCCACACUGGGACUGAGAUACGGCCCAGACUCCUACGGGAGGCAGCAGCUAAGAAUAUUCCGCAAUGGGUGAAAGCCUGACGGAGCGACGCCGCGUGGAUGAAGAAGGCCGAAAGGUUGUAAAAUUCCUUUGCGGAUGAAGAAUAAGCCUUACAGGGAAUGGUAGGGUGAUGACGAUAGUCCGUGAAUAAGCCCCGGCUAAUUACGUGCCAGCAGCCGCGGUAACACGUAAGGGGCGAGCGUUGUUCGGAAUUAUUGGGCGUAAAGGGCGCGUAGGCGGCUGUAGAAGUCUGGCGUGAAAGGCGGGGGCUCAACCCCUGGACUGCGCUGGAAACUGGACGGCUUGAGUGUCGGAGGGGCAGCCGGAAUUCCUGGUGUAGGGGUGAAAUCUGUAGAUAUCAGGAAGAACACCGGUGGCGAAGGCGGGCUGCCAGCCGGAGACUGACGCUGAGGCGCGAAAGUGCGGGGAGCAAACAGGAUUAGAUACCCUGGUAGUCCGCACUAUAAACGAUGCACACUAUGUGUUGGACCGAGCGGUUCAGUGCCGGAGCGAACGCGAUAAGUGUGCCGCCUGGGGAGUAUGCCCGCAAGGGUGAAACUCAAAGGAAUUGACGGGGGCCCGCACAAGCGGUGGAGCAUGUGGUUUAAUUCGAUGAUACGCGAGGAACCUUACCUGGGUUUGACAUGGUAGCGGAGGUGCAGAGAUGUAUCCGCCUGGCACAGCGCUAUCACAGUGCUGCAUGCUGUCGUCAGCUCGUGCCGUGAGUGUGGUAGUCCCGCACGAGCGCACCCUACUGCAGUACAGCAU